rnacentral:rRNA from 1 species
GACAGAGGUGGCAAGCGUUGUUCGGAAUUACUGGGCUUAAAGGGCGCGUAGGCGGUAUGAUAAGUCUGGGGUGAAAUCCUAUGGCUUAACCAUAGAAUUGCCUUGGAUACUGUUGUACUUGAGUCAGCGAGGGGAUGGCGGAAUUCCCGGUGUAGCGGUGAAAUGCGUAGAUAUCGGGAGGAAGGCCGGUGGCGAAGGCGGCCAUCUGGCGCUGGACUGACGCUGAGGCGCGAAAGCGUGGGGAGCAAAC